UACGUAGGGACCGAGCGUUGUCCGGAAUCAUUGGGCGUAAAGAGCGUGUAGGCGGCCUUUUAAGUCCUGCGUGAAAUCCUGCGGCUCAACCGCAGACGGUCGUGGGAAACUGGAAGGCUAGAGUGCGGGAGAGGAGAGUGGAAUUCCCGGUGUAGCGGUGAAAUGCGCAGAUAUCGGGAGGAACACCGGUGGCGAAGGCGGGUCGCUGGGCAGUAACUGACGCUGAGGAGCGAAAGCGUGGGGAGCAAACGGG
rnacentral:rRNA from 1 species